rnacentral:rRNA from 1 species
UACGUAGGGUGCGAGCGUUGUCCGGAAUUACUGGGCGUAAAGAGCUCGUAGGCGGUUUGUCACGUCGUCUGUGAAAUCCUAGGGCUUAACCCUGGACGUGCAGGCGAUACGGGCUGACUUGAGUACUACAGGGGAGACUGGAAUUUCUGGUGUAGCGGUGGAAUGCACAGAUAUCAGGAAGAACACCGAUGGCGAAGGCAGGUCUCUGGGUAGUUACUGACGCUGAGGAGCGAAAGCAUGGGUAGCGAACAGGAUUAGAAACCCGUGUAGU